rnacentral:tRNA from 11 species
UCUGAGCUAAGCAGGC